rnacentral:lncRNA from 1 species
AUCUCUACUUGAUUUCAAUUUCAUAAAAUUGCCCUUAGAUUCCUAUUAAUUGGACUAUGCAAUUUAUAAAAUCUAUGACCAUAAGCAACAUGAACACUUGGAUGUAGCUCUAGACCUUGAUCUCAGUGCAAAUUUUAGUUGAUUAGUUAGUUGCCUCUUUGUUGUGGAGGUUACCCAUUAUCCAACCCAACCACCCCUCCUUGGAUUAUAGUUAAGCAUCUGUUGAUGACACAAUAAGAUCACCUCGAA